GGGUUGUGAGGUUAAGCGACUAAGCGUACACGGUGGAUGCCCUGGCAGUCAGAGGCGAUGAAGGACGUGCUAAUCUGCGAUAAGCGUCGGUAAGGUGAUAUGAACCGUUAUAACCGGCGAUUUCCGAAUGGGGAAACCCAGUGUGAUUCGUCACACUAUCAUUAACUGAAUCCAUAGGUUAAUGAGGCGAACCGGGGGAACUGAAACAUCUAAGUACCCCGAGGAAAAGAAAUCAACCGAGAUUCCCCCAGUAGCGGCGAGCGAACGGGGAGCAGCCCAGAGCCUGAAUCAGUGUGUGUGUUAGUGGAAGCGUCUGGAAAGGCGUGCGAUACAGGGUGACAGCCCCGUACACAAAAAUGCACAUACUGUGAGCUCGAUGAGUAGGGCGGGACACGUGGUAUCCUGUCUGAAUAUGGGGGGACCAUCCUCCAAGGCUAAAUACUCCUGACUGACCGAUAGUGAACCAGUACCGUGAGGGAAAGGCGAAAAGAACCCCGGCGAGGGGAGUGAAAAAGAACCUGAAACCGUGUACGUACAAGCAGUGGGAGCACGCUUAGGCGUGUGACUGCGUACCUUUUGUAUAAUGGGUCAGCGACUUAUAUUCUGUAGCAAGGUUAACCGAAUAGGGGAGCCGAAGGGAAACCGAGUCUUAACUGGGCGUUAAGUUGCAGGGUAUAGACCCGAAACCCGGUGAUCUAGCCAUGGGCAGGUUGAAGGUUGGGUAACACUAACUGGAGGACCGAACCGACUAAUGUUGAAAAAUUAGCGGAUGACUUGUGGCUGGGGGUGAAAGGCCAAUCAAACCGGGAGAUAGCUGGUUCUCCCCGAAAGCUAUUUAGGUAGCGCCUCGUGAAUUCAUCUCCGGGGGUAGAGCACUGUUUCGGCAAGGGGGUCAUCCCGACUUACCAACCCGAUGCAAACU
rnacentral:rRNA from 3 species